AGGUAGUGAAGCCGCAUACUCCAUUAAUUAAGUUCCCAGACAGAAAAAGUAGUCCCAGACCUAAAAUACAGGAAUCUCUACAAGCAAGUGUGCCAUCUCUCCAUGCUUCGAAAGCACAGGAGUCUGUAGGAGGCAGAUCACCGGCAUUUCAAAGUAAUUCACCUGUUAGUAGAGUACAAGGUACUCCAGACACUUCUGAAUUAGCAAGAACCUUACCUCAGAAAUACAGAAGGAAACUUAUGUCAGAUGAAGAGAUUGAAUAUAUUCAACGUGGAGGCCCAGAAUAAGUAUGGGCAAUGGUUCAUUGGCCGCUGUUGAAGAAUAAAGCAUUGUGUUCACAAUAAAGGCGUUUCCUUAAUAUUAUAAGUGAUUGGAUACUAAUAGCUUUAAUAAAAACCCAUAUGAAGGGUGAGAAGGUUGACACAACACGCUGUAUCUUAAUUUGUGAUUGAGAAGGAUUUUCUGUUGAUGGCUAACUAGCAAUUGAAUAUACUUGAUGUCCACACCAUUAAAGUAUUUUUCUAAUUAGCCA